AGCUCCAAUAGCGUAUAUUAAAGUUGUUGCAGUUAAAAAGCUCGUAGUUGGAUUUGUGGCUGUCGCCGUCCGUUCUUCACAAUGUGUUGAAUUGGUUGGCGUCGCCAUCCUUGGGUGGAUCCUGUGUGGCAUUAGGUUGUCGUGCAGGGGAUGCCCAUCUUUUACUGUGAAAAAAUUAGAGUGUUCAAAGCAGGCUUAUGCCGUUGAAUAUAUUAGCAUGGAAUAAUGAGAUAGGACCUUGGUACUAUUUUGUUGGUUUGCGCACCAAGGUAAUGAUUAAUAGGGACAGUUGGGGGUAUUCGUAUUCCAUUGUCAGAGGUGAAAUUCUUGGAUUUCUGGAAGACGAACUACUGCGAAAGCAUUUACCAAGGAUGUUUUCAUUAAUCAAGAACGAAAGUAC
rnacentral:rRNA from 1 species